CGCAUCUGUGCAUGCAGCAUAUCAAUAAGCGGAGGAAAAGAAACUAACAAGGAUUCCCCUAGUAACGGCGAGUGAAGCGGGAAGAGCUCAAAUUUGAAAUCUUAAAGGGUUUCCCUUUACGAAUUGUAGUUUAAAGAAGUGUUUUCUGUUGAGGUUUUGGUAAAAGUUCUUUGGAAUAGGACAUCAUAGAGGGUGAGAAUCCCGUAUUUGACCUUUACUUUACAACUUUGUGAUACACUUUCAAAGAGUCGGAUUGUUUGGGAAUGCAGUCCAAAAUGGGUGGUAAAUUUCAUCUAAAGCUAAAUAUUGGCGAGAGACCGAUAGCGGACAAGUACCGUGAGGGAAAGAUGAAAAGAACUUUGAAAAGAGAGUUAAACAGUACGUGAAAUUGUCAAAAGGGAAGCGUUUGACACCAGUGUUGUUUUUCUGAAAAUCAAUUAAAGAACUGGUUAUGCUAAGUUGUUUAGACUUUAUCAGCUAACUGUUUAGUUUUGAGCUUUUCUUUAAUGCACUUUUCAGUUAACAAGUCAACAUCAAUUUCUUUUGCUGUAAAAAAGCUUGAGGAAGGUGGCUUGAGAUUCGUCUUAAGUGUUUAUAGCCUCUUGCCUAUGCAGUCGGAGAGAUUGAGGUCUGCAGCGUAGAUCCUUCGGGGCUAAAUGCAUUUGUGCUAAGUUAUAGCAUUUUAUAGACAACUUGUUGACUAUGAUUUGUCUUGUAGCUUACUCGCUUAUGUUAUUUUACCUACGCUUAGGAUGUUGAAUCUGUGCGAGACUAC
rnacentral:rRNA from 1 species